CUACUAUUUGGCAUUACUAGAAUACGAGUAUGAUCGAACUAAUUACAUGCAUCAUUGCUCUUUCAAUCGUCUUGCAUGGUAACACCAGAGAAUGAUGCCCUCAAGAUCAGCUAGCUACAUAUUCGUAUCUACAAACUUCUCUGAAGGUAAAAUCAUGAACAACAUUAGGCCCCAACUUGAUAUAUCCAAUUUUUGCCCUCUUGGAUUUCAAGAAAAUAGUGUUCUUAUUGUCUUGCAAAGAAAUUAGGGUGCAAAUCAAUUUAAAUAUUAGGAUUAGAUGCAAAUCACAAACAAAACUUAGUAACAGAAAACAAAAUGCAGCUUUCAGUUAAAUGACAAUUUCCAGUAACACGAGUUUCUCCAACAACGAUUCAGGAGACAUUUUAUGCAAUACAAAAAUGUUGUAUUUGAUAGUCAUAAAAAAAAAAAGGUGCACAAAAGAAAAAAGAGCUGUCAAGUAAGGUAGCCUCCACACAGCAGCAACCUUAAGGAUGGCCAGAUUCAUCUGCAGGCACAGAAACAAAUUAGAUGUUUAGUGACUUUACAUACUGGGAUAAUCCAGUUGUACAAGAAAUGGUUUCGUAUAACAAAUAUCAACCAAGUGAAAUGCAAUUUUCCUUUACAUUAGGAAGCCAAGGAUCCCGAGGACCACAUGGCUUGAGGAAUCUUACUUUACAUACCAAAUUUAAAACCAUGGGAUAUUAAACUUUGAUAGAGCCUUUAGAUCAGAUGGUUUGGUUUAACUUACUAAUGAAAAAAAAAAUGAAGAUAAAAUUCCUGUUCAAAAUAAUCCAGAGUUUUUAAGAGAUUAUAGAAAAUCAUCCAAGGAUUCUUUUAUCCCGCUUCAAUGGGAUAAUAUCAUGACUGCCUUACAUGGGCUAUUUCAUCACAUUGCUCCUCAGCAUAACUCCUAGUUUUAAGCAACAUAUGAUGGUAUCAUUCCACUAUAUUACUGACAGAUGGUACAGCUGAACUAAAGUUUGAUAUUGAUUUGCAAUUAACAGUCCAUGAGUGAUACUAAUAAUAGUACACUGUACCCCCAACAAGUCAGGUUUAAUUCUAUGAAGAAGAAUAUCUGCAACCAAUCAGAAAGCAAUCAUCUAUAAGAGGAAACAUUUUCAAGAUUGGCCGUCAAUGUGAUGGAAUAGCCCAUUAAAAGAGACCUAGGGGGCCUCACACACCCAGUUGGUUCACAGUUAGGUCCAGCAGCUAUGUUGCUCGGACUCUCAGAAAAUGCUCUUGCAAACAUGUCGGAUCCUCCAAAAAUGUACUACUUUCGGAGGAUCUGACACACACUCAACAACACUUUUUAAGAGUCUAGGCAACAUAGUCUAACAACAGCACCUGACUCAUGUUUUUUCUUUCUAUGCUCUAGCCAACUCAAACAUGAUUACUUAUAUAUAGGUCAAGGUCAAUUUAAGCUUUUUAGAAUAGAAGCACCCCAAGGAUAAACCAUGUCAAUGCUUUAAUUAUGCAAGAGAAAACCAAACAAAGUAAAAUUAGCUUCCCAAUUUCUGAACAAUAACUCAACACUUUAAUCCUAUUUCUUUACAGUUAGUUACUUUUUUGAUGUCCCUUUCGCUUCACUUUUUUUCUUUUUAUAACAAGAUAAAGCACCAAUGAGGCACAUUAAAAAGAUUUAGAUAAGGUCAACAGAGACACCUACAUCAUCUACAUGGUCCUGGACCCCUGGUUGCCCCAAAAUAAUUGUUGUCAUCCAGUUAAGUAUUUUUCUUCACAGCUUCCUAAUCAAAACAUCUCCUGCUUCUUUAUAAGCUGUGUACAAUGGGUAUCAUUUCCCAUAUUUUGCUUCUCUCCAUCCAACUUUGGUAUGCAUAUACAAUGGUAUUGUCUCCCAUGUCUUCUUUGCUUCUUAUACCAUUAGCACAUCAAUUUUCUUUUUCAUGACUGUUCCGGACAAGCUAGAAACAUAUUCCACAUAUGUUCUCUUGUUCAAACAAGUAGCAUCUAUUUCUAAAAAUUCAUCCCUUGUUCUUUAGGUUGUCAGGAGUUAGGAUGGCCUCAUGUACCAUAUGAAAGCAAUUUUUGGUGAAAUUUUUUUCCUCCAAAAUUCUUUCAGAAAUGUUUCCACGGGGACAUUCCCCUUGGACAAACUAAAAAAGUAGAAUUUACCGGAUAAACUGCUGGCCUUAUUUCCCUUCUUCUUUGAUUCAUCUCUGUUUUGUAGCUGAGAUUCUUUCAGACUCAACCAGAUCUUCUAGAUUUUGUACAGCUCACAAUCAAGCGGUUGCAGCUCACCUUUUAGCCUGUCUCUUGUUCUUUCUAUUAACCUGAAAAUAUCCUUGUUAAUAGGCUCUGUAUCCUAUUCCAACCGGUUGCAGUUCUUAGCAUGAGUUUGUAAGUUCUUUCCUCAACAUUACACCUAAAAGAUACCUACUUCAAAACUUUGCCUGGCCACGUAUAUAUAUAUUCGUGGCAGAAAUCCUUUCUUUAACUAUUUGCCUCGCUACAUAUAUAUAUAUUCGAUGGCAGAAAUCCUUUCUUUGACCAUAAGUCACUCCUGA